GCGAACGCUGGCGGCAGGCCUAACACAUGCAAGUCGAGCGCCCGUAGCAAUACGGGAGCGGCAGACGGGUGAGUAACACGUGGGAACGUGCCCUUUGGUUCGGAAUAACUCUGGGAAACUUGAGCUAAUACCGGAUAAGCCCUUACGGGGAAAGAUUUAUCGCCGAAGGAGCGGCCCGCGUCCGAUUAGCUAGUUGGUGGGGUAAUGGCCCACCAAGGCUACGAUCGGUAGCUG
rnacentral:rRNA from 1 species